CGUAUACUCGUUCCCAUUUCUGCCUCUCUCUUCUCACUUCUCUCUCCCCCUCUCUCUCUCUAACCCUAGAAACUCCGGCGACGUCACCGCCGUUCCUGCCGGUCAUCACACGCCGCCACCGUCCCUACCCACGCCCACGUCGUCCAUCUUCUAGCUUAUUGCUAUUCUUUACAGGAUGCAUUUGUUGCUGAGCAGCUGUUUCAAGGCUCUGAAAAUUCUUCAUAACUGGGACUGAUUCUUGUUUCCUGAAGUUGGCAUAGCGGUGAUCUCUUUAUAUAGCCUUUAUUUCAGUACUGGGGACAAAAUUAACUUGUUACUGGAUCCUUCAACAAAAAACAUCUUGUUGGAAGAGUUGUGUUAAGAAAGGGGAAGUUGAAUGCAUGUGAACUUUAAAGUCAAAGGUACUGCAUUACUGAAAGAGUAAAUCUUCCUUUCCGUGUAAUACCAACUAUCAAAGAAUUAGACCGUACACGUACGGAAGUGAAUGUUAAGGUUUGAUAUGGAAUGAAUUUUGAUUUGAAACAUCAAUCUGUGUUUAUAUGAUUUACUAUUGCUAACUUUGACUAUUUUAAUCUUAAUCAUGUAAUGUACAUUCUUUUGCAUUAAAGCUAGCUUCUUCAAAAACAGAUCUUCAAUAUGGACAACUUGGUGCAAGAUAAGAAAAUUUCCAGGACAAACUGAGCGAACAUUGAGUGCUGAUGUUGAGCUAAUGAUUCCAUCCCUCCUGAGAGACCUGAUAACUGUGUUCGCUUAAGUUGACGAUUUUCUUUAUCCCUUGUAUGGAUCUUUUGGAAGGCUUUCUGUGGGGUGGGGUUCCCAUGUUUACAGCAUCUGGUUUGCGUGUUCGGUUUCUUAAGGUGUGGGAGAAGAGUGGCUACAACACAGUUGAGUGGGUUCGUUAUAUCACUAAAGCUGCUUCGUACGAGAUAAGGUGCUAAGAUGAAAGAACUACUUGAGUUGAGGUUGUCUUCGAUUGAUAGCCGGUGUAAAAAUUAAUCUUUUUGAGGGAUGGAAUCAUACUAACACUUAUGCACCAGAUCCUGUCAGAACUUUAAAUGUGCGUGGGCGAGAAUAGUACUAGGAUGGGUGACCGCGGAGAGUUCUCAUGUUUCAUCUGUUACUGACCCCAACUAGUUUGGAAUUGAGGCGGAGCUUGAUUAUCUUCUUCUUUUUUUUUUUUUUUUUUGCUUAUUGUUGUUGGUUUGUUUGAUAUAUUUUCCCACACAAAUUACUGUAUCUUUGUCUUGCUGGUUCCUGGAAAUGAAUUAGAAGCUAUUUAACCUUCUAUUAAUUGAAAUGUUUUCUUUUGGU